CAAGCUCUUAACCAACUGAGCCACUCAGCUGGCCCUGUGGAAGGCAAAUCUUUCCCAGAGGCCCCCCAGAUAAUAUCGCAUUGGCCAGAACUGGGUCAUGCACACGUCCUUGGACCAGCCAUUGGCAGAGGGAAUUGCAUCACUUAGACCAAUCACGGUUCAUCCCUUCGUGUUGGAUGCACAGCUCUUCCACUCUUGUUCAAAACUACCUGGUCAAUUUUGAUUGUCAUUUGUUUGUUCAUCAUAUUUUGAGCAUCUCCAUUUACUUCUUUAAACUAUUAAAAAUACUUUUAUAUUGUG